rnacentral:lncRNA from 1 species
UGGUUUAGAACAAUAACCAAAUUGAACUUGUGUUCCUACCAUACGUCAAGCAUGGCAACACACAAAUUCAUUAGUAUAGAGACAUUUCAUUAGUAAAAAAAUUAGUGUCAAAAGAAUAAAAAUUGGGAUGCAAAAUAGUAAGAAAUAACUGAAAGCCCAUAUAUACUUGUCUUGAUUAAAUAUACUUGUCUUGAUUAAAUAAGUCGAUUAUUUGUGUUCUGCCAUUAAUAUGGAUGAAGAAGAUGACUGAACUCCAAUGCAUCAACCUUAUUUUACUUUGAACUUGAUUUAACGACGAUGCUUAUUCUUAAAGAAAAAUAUAAAGAUAAAAUUAUUGAUGCAUGGUGUGUAAUAUACAUUGGGACCUGUAUGUGCACAAACUGAAAGUAAUCCGAAGAAAAACACUUACUCGGAACUUAGUACAGUAUGGCAAUUAAGCAACACAUCAAGGGCAAAUUAAACUGAAGUACCAAUGUUUGCGGUAUACCUUGUUCCACAUUUUCAAAAUGCAAUGUUUAUUCUAUUUCUUAAAAAAAAAACAAAAAAAAAACAUGGUACUAAUAAAUGAAACUGCGUCAAAAUUCAUACCUAACAAAAAGAAUAUUUUUUAAAUAUACAAAAUUACCUUUGGCAUGGAAUCAAUGUAGGUCUCUGGGACCUCCAUUUCUCAAUGAACUUGCGCAUUUCUGGUCAUGGAAGCUUUAAGAGCUUGGUUGUAAAUAUUCUUUUGAUGUUCAUACCAUUUUCUUGAUUCAUCUGAAAGUCCUCCUGGAGGAACCUUUACCCGAGGUAUCCACCAUCUUUUUGUGAUUCGUCUGCAUUUUAGGUACAUACCAGAAUUCUUUUGAUCUUU